GACGGAGGGUGCUAGCGUUGUUCGGAAUGACUGGGCGUAAAGGGCGCGUAGGCGGCUAAUAUAGUCAGGCGUGAAAGCCCCGGGCUUAACCUGGGAACUGCGUUUGAUACUGAUUAGCUAGAGGACGAGAGAGGAAAGUGGAAUACCGAGUGUAGAGGUGAAAUUCGUAGAUAUUCGGUGGAACAUCAGAGGCGAAGGCGGCUUUCUGGCUCGUUACUGACGCUGAGGCGCGAAAGCGUGGGGAGCAAACAGG
rnacentral:rRNA from 1 species